CGAUGUGAGGUCGAUGUAGCUACAACAUCUGUCACCCAUUGAUCACCAGGGUUAACUUGGCUGAUCUGGCUGGUUAGGAAUGUGUCCCCUUCCUCCCACACUGCUCCAUGUAUGUCCCUCCCAAAGCUGCAUGCUUGGUGUAAGAGGACUAACUUUCUGAACAGAGGAGGGCCAGUAUUCUGUAAAGGGUAUUGGAGUAGCUGCACUCUGUUCCCAUGCUAGAACCUCCAAACAGGCUGAUCAAACAUUUUAAGAGAGUACUAGAAGACAAGAUAACAGAAGGUUACACUGUAAUCAUUU
rnacentral:snRNA from 1 species